AUUGAACGCUGGCGGCAUGCUUUACACAUGCAAGUCGAACGGUAGAGGGGGCAACCCCUUGAGAGUGGCGAACGGGUGAGUAAUGCAUCGGAACGUGCCCAGUCGUGGGGGAUAACGCAGCGAAAGCUGUGCUAAUACCGCAUACGAUCUCUGGAUGAAAGCGGGGGACCGAAAGGCCUCGCGCGAUUGGAGCGGCCGAGGUCAGAUUAGGUAGUUGGUGGGGUAAAGGCUCACCAAGCCAACGAUCUGUAGCUGGUCUGAGAGGACGACCAGCCACAAUGGGACUGAGACACGGCCCAGACUCCUACGGGAGGCAGGAGUGGGGAAUUUUGGACAAUGGGCGCAGGCCUGAUCCAGCAAUGCCGCGUGCAGGAAGAAGGCCUUCGGGCUGUAAACUGCUUUUGUACGGAACGAAAAGGUCUGGGUUAAUACCCUGGGCACAUGACGGUACCGUAAGAAUAAGCACCGGCUAACUACGUGCCAGCCGCCGCAGUAA
rnacentral:rRNA from 1 species